AUCAGUUAGGGGCCACAGUGCUCCUAGUGAAAAAAGUUAGUCUGGAGCCCUGUAAGACAAAAAAUGGAGCUGACUUUCUCCCUAAGGUGAAAGGAGGUCAUAGAGAUGGAGCCUAUGGUGACAGAGGUUAUGGAACGCUGGCUGGCUUUGUUUAGUGAAGCAGAGAUCAGGGACGAGUUCCAUCGAAUAACCAACAAAAACCGGGAUUCAUCCGUGAAGAGAACACCUCUCCAACGUGCCAGACGCCAUCGCAUACAAAUGACAUCACAUCCCAAUACAUAGACAGACUGCUCCUUUGAGAGGUCUUCGUGACAGUCAUGAGAAGCUCUUCAGGAACUGCUCUGACACUGACCGAGAGGAGGAGCAGACAAAAGGUCUCGCCAUGGGUAUCCUCACAGUGUUGGAAGACGAUGGUACUUCAACAGCCGCAAAUAUCAUCACUUUCUGUUAUUGUGGAAAAAAAACAUCGUCCUUCAGGACCUCCCUGACCUGCCAACAGCUUUUGCCUACCUGCUUGGGCUGAUCUAUGCCUUAAACCUUCACUACCCAAAAGAUUUGAGUGUAUAUCCCAGUCUGUUGCAGUGCCACACAAUUACACCUAGGAGCAAAUUCAAGACCCAACGCACCUAUGGACAACUGUUUUUGGACUAUACGGGAGGCCGGAUUUCCCAGAGAGAGCCCACAUACUGUAAACCCAAACAGUUGUACUGGCUCAUAACUAUUGUUGUUACACAACUUAAAUGUCAUUUUGUAGUUGAUUCAAAAAUAAAGUAUUAAGCUCUUUCAACAUUCAUUCAAAUUUAACUUAACAGUGCUCUAAAUUUCAAAGCUUAAUUGUGUCUACCACUCAAAAAUUUUAGGAGCCCUGAAGUAGCGUCAUGACGUCAUCAUGUUCUGGUGGGAGGGUCUUUCAUUUUCUCAACGUUAGCUCAGGUGGCCAUGUUGGAUUUGCCGAAUGCGAGUAUGCGACGUUUGAAAUUUAAAGUUGAGCAUUUUAUUAUUCUGCAAUGCGUUGCGAUUUUGCUCCGAUUCAAGACGCCCCAACCUCGAUUUUUUCCAUCAGCCUCAUCGCUGAUGUUUUCCUCAGUGGUGUCUUGUCUUCAGCCCUGAUUCAUUUGGUAAGUAUUGUUCAUGUUUUUUUAAUGAAAUGCUUUAAAUAUGCUCUUAUUUACUACCGUAAAUGUGGUUUUACUGUUGUUUAAACAUACGUGUUACGAUCAUUUUAGAGCUUAAUGUGACAAAUGUUCAUUAGUUAGUCGUAGCAUAUGGCGAGCUAUUCAAACCCAAAUGUAUUUCUGCCCGUAAGUUACCACAUUGAUGACUUUUUUCAGAGGUACAAAUGAUCUGUUAUGCUGCAAUCACACUAAACGUGAUCCGUGAGUGAAAUUCGCAUCAGAGCCCUCUGUUUGUGACUAAAGUUUGCUGCUGGACAUUUGUCCAAAAAUGUCACAGACUCAAAGCCUCUAACUGUUGUGUGG